UCCAGACUCCUACGGGAGGCAGCAGUGGGGGAUAUUGCACAAUGGGGGAAACCCUGAUGCAGCGACGCCGCGUGAGUGAAGAAGUAUUUCGGUAUGUAAAGCCCUAUCGGCAGGGAAGGAGGAGGACGGUACCUGACUAAGAAGCCCCGGCUAACUACGUGCCAGCAGCCGCGGUAAUACGUAGGGGGCAAGCGUUAUCCGGAUUUACUGGGUGUAAAGGGGGCGCAGACGGCAGCGCAAGCCAGGAGUGAAAGCCCGGGGCCCAACCCCGGGACUGCUCUUGGAACUGCGCGGCUGGAGUGCAGGAGGGGCAGGCGGAAUUCCUGGUGUAGCGGUGAAAUGCGUAGAUAUCAGGAGGAACACCGGCGGCGAAGGCGGCCUGCUGGACCGUGACUGACGUUGAGGCUCGAGAGCGUGGGGAGCAAACAGGAUUAGAUACCCUAGUAC
rnacentral:rRNA from 1 species